GCCUUGUAAUAAUCUUAUGAUGGUUGCUCUUGUAAAGCGAAGGAGGUAGAUAAUAAUCUUACCACAAGGUU
rnacentral:tRNA from 3 species